UGACGGAAGCAAUGUAAAAGUCCACAUUGUUCUAAAAUAACAGACAUCCUUUUGUAAUUAGAUUAUGAUAAUUUAUGUGGAUUGGAAAGGAAGUAGGUACCUAGAUAGUGGAUAACUGGAUACCUAUGUUUCUGAUAAUUGAUUCCUUCAGGUGCAUCGAUAACUUCACACAUUGCUAUACAUGACAGAUGACCGCCGAUACAACUUGCCCCCCAGCCGAAACCUCCGUGACUAUACGGCAGACACAAACUCAAUUCCGACGAUAAAUAAACACCACUUCCCAUUAAUGUCGUCUAUAAGAAAUAAACGUUAAAAUUUCAAUUUUAUAUUUAGUUUGUUCAUAUAUAAAAUAAAAUUUUCGUUAAAACAAACCUUAUUAAUAUGUUGUUGAAGGCCAAAGUUUAUUAUUGAGAAAAAAUUUUCUAAGCGAUUUCCGUGAUAAGCAUAAAACACUUUGUGAUCUUUCGAUAACUCCUUCCAUCUCAACUCGCCAUUCGAAUUAUUUGAACUCACAACUUGAAAGAUGUAUUGUGGCUUUGGCGCAGGUAACAAUGAAUGUACAUUAAUUAAUAUUGCUUCAUGCUGUUGAGUCGUAAAAAGCAUUUUGUAUAAUGUAAGUAAAUGUUUGUAUAACAAAAGUAUAUAUUAUUACGAUACCUAUACGAAAUUAAAAAGACCGCUCUUUGUUUACUUGUAUACUUUUAUGUGCAUCUCGGCCUACUCUGUACUUCUAGAAAGUAACUCAUAUUGUAUGAAAAAUCCGAACAAUUUCCUAUUAAAGUGUAUAAAGCUGAA